AACGAACGCUGGCGGCAUGCCUAACACAUGCAAGUCGAACGAGACCUUCGGGUCUAGUUGCGCACGGGUGCGUAACGCGUGGGAACCUGCCCUUAGGUUCGGAAUACCUCCCCGACAGGGGUGCUAAUACCGGAUAAUGUCUUCGAACCACAGAUUUAUCGCCUUUGGAUGGGCCCGCGUUGUAUUAGCUAGUUGGUAGGGUAAAAGCCUACCAAGGCUACGAUCCAUAGCUGGUCUGAGAGGAUGAGCAGCCACACUGGGACUGAGACACGGCCCAGAAUCUUACGGGAGGCAGCAGUGGGGAAUAUUGGAAAAUGGGCGAAAGCCUGAUCCAGCAAUGCCGCGUGAGUGAUGAAGGCCUUAGGGUUGUAAAGCUCUUUUACCCGGGAUGAUAAUGACAGUACCGGGAGAAUAAGCUCCGGCUAACUCCGUG
rnacentral:rRNA from 1 species